UACGUAGGGGGCGAGCGUUGUCCGGAUUCAUUGGGCGUAAAGCGCGCGUAGGCGGCUCGACAAGUCGGCCGUGAAAUCUCCAGGCUCAACUUGGAGGGGUCGGGCGAGACUGUCGGGCUCGAGGUGGGCAGAGGGCAGUGGAAUUCCGGGUGUAGUGGUGGAAUGCGUAGAGAUCCGGAGGAACACCAGUGGCGAAGGCGGCUGCCUGGGCCUGGCCUGACGCUGAGGCGCGAAAGCGUGGGGAGCAAACGGG
rnacentral:rRNA from 1 species